rnacentral:lncRNA from 1 species
AUAUUCUUAUAUUGUUUUGCUCAAUAAUAUUGAAGCGUUGGGCCCUUCUUGUUCUAUAUGUCCAUGGGGAAGAUGGACCUCAUGCCCCUGGGUGUAUGAAGAGGUAAAUGGUUCAAAUUUGUGCAUAUGCUUAUCGUCGGAUAGGAUUAGGUGAUUAGAUACGUGAGCAUUUAACAAUAAACUGGAUUCACGAAGCAAACACAAGGGACUCAAUGAGGCAGAGUGUCUUAGCUUUUGUUUUCCUAUGUUAGUAUAUUUAUAUUUCAAUACAAACAUUGUGGGAUGUGAAGUAAAUUGUUCUACACGUCACUGAUUGUGCAGGAGUAGGGAGAGUCAUCCACCGGAUAGGACCCCAUGUCCGGAGAGGGUUGUGCACUUGAGAAGAGACAAUCAGGUACACAGACAAGUUGGGUGACCAUGUUCUUGAGCUUUUCAUCCAUUUGAUUCAUUAGGAGAGCCAUAUGAUUUGUAUAACUUAUAUUUCUGGGAGCAUGGUUUUAUAAUUCACUAUGGGAAAAGUCAGUUAAACACAAAGAAUAUGAAAUGCUUGCAAAAAAUACUUUGUGGUUGCUCUGUAUCUUAACUGGGUUGGUAUAGAAUCAAGUUCAGGUUCACCGGUGCUGAUAAUGGAAAUUUAUAUCUGCACAGGGGAGGCCUACAUAGGAGAACAGUAUGUCUUGGCGCUGUGAAUACCCAACAUUGGUUCGACUUUCCACACAUCAGACAAGGGGUGGCACAUUACUAAGCACAGAGUCUCGCACAAUCAUUCAUUCAUGCCCACAUGUGGCGACAAGGUUCAUUAGCAGUCGCGCAAGGAGAUAUAUCAGUACAGAAAGAACUUGGUAAAACUGCUAAGGCAAAACUUUCCUUGACCAUGAAUUCAAGGCCAAAUUUUGCACCUUCUUUUCCUCCAAUUAUCCGUUCCAGUUUGAUUAGGAUGAGACGUGUUUCGGUUAGCAUGAUUGUUUGUAAAUGGUCACCACCCUCCCUGUACUUUUGUUGUUGUCACUUCAUUAAUUAUUUCCCCAAAAGAUAACAUUGUAGAAAUCAGACAAGGUCUUAUGUCAAGUCUCGGGGCGUAGAAUCUAUUUCAUAGAGGUCGGUUAUCCUAUCUUUGUAUUGUUUUCUCUUUGCAUGGAUGAAGGUAUUUUUCGAAGAAUCCUUCUUAUGCUUGUUUGGAGUUUAACUAGAGGUACUUGUGGAGUGUGUUAUGAAGAUUGCUCCAUAGGAACUUUGAUCAAAUUGUUUGAUGACAUAUCACUAUCAUUCUUCUUCUACUUGAGAAAAAUAAAGUUU